GAUGAACGCUGGCGGCGUGCUUAACACGUGCAAGUCGAACGAAGCACCUUGAUUUGAUUCUUCGGAUGAAGAUCUUGGUGACUGAGUGGCGGACGGGUGAGUAACGCGUGGGUAACCUGCCUCAUACAGGGGGAUAACAGUUAGAAAUGACUGCUACUACCGCAUAAGACCACAGCACCGCAUGGUGCAGGGGUAAAAACUCCGGUGGUAUGAGAUGGACCCGCGUCUGAUUAGGUAGUUGGUGGGGUAACGGCCUACCAAGCCGACGAUCAGUAGCCGACCUGAGAGGGUGACCGGCCACAUUGGGACUGAGACACGGCCCAAACUCCUACGGGAGGCAGCAGUGGGGAAUAUUGCACAAUGGGGGAAACCCUGAUGCAGCGACGCCGCGUGAGCGAUGAAGUAUUUCGGUAUGUAAAGCCCUAUCAGCAGGGAAGAAAAUGACGGUACCUGACUAAGAAGCACCGGCUAAAUACGUGCCAGCCGCCGCGGUAA
rnacentral:rRNA from 1 species